rnacentral:rRNA from 1 species
UACGUAGGGUGCGAGCGUUGUCCGGAAUUAUUGGGCGUAAAGGGCUCGUAGGCGGCCAACUAAGUCAUACGUGAAAUCCCUCAGCUUAACUGGGGAACUGCGUGUGAUACUGGAUGGCUUGGAUUUGGGAGAGGGAUGCGGAAUUCCAGGUGUAGCGGUGAAAUGCGUAGAUAUCUGGAGGAACACCGGUGGCGAAGGCGGCAUCCUGGACCAAUUCUGACGCUGAGUGAGCGAAAGCCAGGGGAGCAAACGGG